CAUCACGAAGACAUCCCUAACUGCUGGUGGCAGUUUUUUGUGGGCUUGCCUUAAGGAGACACCUUUCAAAGCCUAAAAUAGCCAGUGUUUAGACAAUUGAUGGAAUGAGAAUGCUUCAGACACUGAAGGGAGGUGAUCAUAGAAUUAUGAUCCAGAAGAGAUACAGAUGUCACGAGUCAGCCUAUUUGGAGACAUCACCUGCAAUGAAUGAUUUCCAGAAACACUCACUCAGUGGAGUCAGGGAACAAUAAUGAAGGUUAACUGUCCAAAGGUUUUCAAAAAAGCUCUUAAUAUAUUACUCCAUGUUAAAAGUUGUCAGCACCAUUGGCAAGCAUUAAAGAUGAACAUGAAGGAGUUGUACUUUUCUGGAUGUGAUUAAUU
rnacentral:lncRNA from 1 species